rnacentral:misc_RNA from 1 species
AGAGAGAGAGAGAGAGAGAAGUUGGUGCCACCAUGAGUUCUGACUUCUGAGAACCCAUGCAAGAAGAGGAUGCAUGCGAUGGGAGCGAGUGUAAAAAGAAGAGUAAGAAGAGACACAUAAUAACCAGAGAAGGAGGCUAUGUCUGUGUGUGGGCAUGAAAGAGAGGUUAGUUAAAAAAAGAAUAGGGAUUUGAGGUUGCCUUUUGUGGAUAUUUGAGAAUUGGGUUUUUCUUUUUUUUUUUUUUUUA